GAGGAAGUAAAAGUCGUAACAAGGUUUCCGUAGGUGAACCUGCGGAAGGAUCAUUAUCGAGUUAAUUGACUGGGUUGUAGCUGGCCUUCCGAGGCAUGUGCACGCCCGGCUCAUCCACGCUCUUACACCUGUGCACUUACUGUGGGUUUACGGGUCGUUAAACGGGCUCGUUUAUUCGGGCUUGUUGAGCGCACUUGUUGCCUGCGUUUAUCACACACAAACACUAUAAAGUAUUAGAAUGAAUUGGGUAAAUCGGGAUAUACAAUAUCAUACAACUUUCAGCAACGGAUCUCUUGGCUCUCGCAUCGAUGAAGAACGCAGCGAAAUGCGAUAAGUAAUGUGAAUUGCAGAAUUCAGUGAAUCAUCGAAUCUUUGAACGCACCUUGCGCUCCUUGGUAUUCCGAGGAGCAUGCCUGUUUGAGUGUCAUUGAAUCUUCAACUUACAAGCUUUUCUUAUUGAAGGCUUGUAGGCUUGGAUUUGGAGGCUUGUCGGACUUUAUUAUACGGGUCGGCUCCUCUUAAAUGCAUUAGCUUGGUUCCUUGCGGAUCGGCUUGUCGGUGUGAUAAUGUCUACGCCGCGACCGUGAAGCGUGUUUGGAACGAGCUUCUAAUGGUCUCGUUAGAGAGACAAGUUUUAAUGAGCUCUGACCUCAAAUCAGGUAG
rnacentral:rRNA from 1 species